rnacentral:rRNA from 1 species
CAGCCGCCGCGGUAAUACAGAGGGUGCGAGCGUUAAUCGGAUUUACUGGGCGUAAAGCGUGCGUAGGCGGCUUCUUAAGUCGGAUGUGAAAUCCCUGAGCUUAACUUAGGAAUUGCAUUCGAUACUGGGAAGCUAGAGUAUGGGAGAGGAUGGUAGAAUUCCAGGUGUAGCGGUGAAAUGCGUAGAGAUCUGGAGGAAUACCGAUGGCGAAGGCAGCCAUUUGGCCUAAUACUGACGCUGAGGUACGAAAGCAUGGGGAGCAAACAGGAUUAGAUACCCCAGUAGUCCCUGUCUCUUAUAC